rnacentral:rRNA from 1 species
UACAGAGGGUGCAAGCGUUGUUCGGAAUUACUGGGCGUAAAGGGCGCGUAGGCGGCUCAUGAAGGCUGUGGUGAAAGUCCGGGGCUCAACCUCGGAUCGGCCGUGGCGACUCGUGGGCUGGAGCACUGUAGAGGCGGGUGGAAUUCCGGGUGUAGCGGUGGAAUGCGUAGAGAUCCGGAAGAACACCAGUGGCGAAGGCGGCCCGCUGGGCAGUGGCUGACGCUGAGGCGCGACAGCGUGGGGAGCAAACAGG